GGGCGCUUAGCUCAGCCCGGUUAGAGCGCCUCCCUUACAAGGAGGAAGUCGGGGGUUCGAAUCCCUCAGCGCCCA
rnacentral:tRNA from 1 species